UGUGUUUCAUUGUUCGGAAAAACCCGUAGUGGGAGAUUGGGAGAUAUUGGAUUUGAUGUCAGCUGUGGACCUUUGGAUGUCAUCUGUGGACCUUUGAGAAAUGAAGAAUUGGAUAAUUAUAUUAUAUUAUAUUUUUCUACAUAUUUUAUGUUAGAUUGUUGUGGUUUUAUUGGAAAUAAAGAUAAUUAUGUUAAAUAUGGAUCGUUGUUAAUGGUCAAUGGUAUUUAUUUAAUAUUAUUAGAAAGAAUUAUUUUGGGUUGUUAAGUUAUAUAAUUGAGAGUAAAGGGCAUUUUUAUUAUAUUUAAGGUAACUUUUUUUAUUGUUGCCAGCUGACCAAGAUCGAAAGAGUGGGUUGAUUCGGUUUUAAAGUAUUCCGUCAUAGGAAGCUGAAAGACCUCAUGAACAGCAGGACAGAAAGGAUUGUUAAAUAUUUAAAUAUGUGAAAUUUAUGAAAAUAUAUAUGGAUAUAGACUUUUGUAAUAAAGUGUGUAUUAUUUAA